rnacentral:lncRNA from 1 species
UUACUAAUUAGUUGACCAUAAUUAGUUUGGUGUAGCCUUAGAGUUCAAGUCACUCCAAGCUAUAUGUACACACACUCCUAGUUCUAUAUAUGUGUACCAUAAAUAGUGAUCAAUUGCUCUUAGUUUAAGAUUGAAGUAACAUGAAACGUAUGAUCACACACAUGAGAAUUAUUGAUGUAGUAACUAGUCGAAAUUUCGUACAUAGUACUUUUAAAAGCCACGGCUCGAUGAUAGUUUAAGAUGCUAAUUAAUCGGACUGUAUAAGUUCGGUUCAACGCAUUUUGUUUGUGGGGAUUAUUGUUUGUGUUUUCUAGCUUCUUUACUCGUGCUCAGUCGUAUAUUACGGUUCUUUUGACACUGGAGUUUGUGUAGACAAUGAAAUU